CCCCCAGAGUUCGGUUGGAGUCUCUCUAUAAAUGUUCCCGGGAGUUUCCGAAACCCACACUCGGUGACUUCAGCUGAACAAUGGUUAACAUGAGCUAUCGACAACCUCUACAAAAACACGCACAGACGCUGAAUCCGAAACAGCCGAGGAAAAGAAACAACAAAAAGAAAAGGAAUCAUUGGGACAAUUUACCGCCAACAGCUCACAUUCAAACUUGAUUGACAAGAGACACUUUUGAGGUGUGGUGUGCUUGGUGUGGGAGCAUAUCGUGUUGUGUCUGUGGAUAGCGACUGAUUGGUGCGAUGACUGCGGAGUGGCUGUGCCCCCCCGGCGUGGGGCCGCUGUGUGGUGCAGAGUUGGAGGCGUGGUAUGAAGACCUACAGGAUAUACUGGGCUCCGACGCGGGCGGGGCCAAACUCACAAGAGCCCCGCCUUCCUCCGAGGUCAGUAACGUCGAACGGCGCUCAACGGUCGCUAGGGUUGGGAAUCGAAAAUCAAUUCCAAUUCCAGAAUCGA